AUUGAACGCUGGCGGCAGGCCUAACACAUGCAAGUCGAGCGAGAGGCGGGGGGGGGAGUAAUGUGUGGGAGACUGCGCGAGGGGGGGGGAGAACUACAGGAGAAGGUGGCGCUUACAGCAUAACACAAGAGGUGCCCAGAUGGGAUUAGCUCGUGGGUGGGGUAACGGCUCACCCAGGCGACGAUCCCUAGCUGGUCUGAGAGGAUGACCAGCCACACUGGAACUGAGACACGGUCCAGACUCCUACGGGAGGCAGCAGUGGGGAAUAUUGCACAAUGGGCGCAAGCCUGAUGCAGCCAUGCCGCGUGUGUGAAGAAGGCCUUCGGGUUGUAAAGUACUUUCAGCGGGGAGGCGUUACCCGCAGAAGAAGCACCGGCUAACUCCGUGCCAGCGGCCGCGGUAAUAC
rnacentral:rRNA from 1 species